GACGAACCGUGCAAACGUUAUUCGGAAUCACUGGGCUUAAAGGGCGCGUAGGCGGGCCAUCAAGUCAGGGGUGAAAUCUUUCAGCUCAACUGGAAAAGGGCCUUUGAUACUGGUGGCCUCGAGGGAGGUAGGGGCAUGCGGAACUUCCGGUGGAGCGGUGAAAUGCGUAGAUAUCGGAAGGAACGCCGGUGGCGAAAGCGGCGUGCUGGACCUCUUCUGACGCUGAGGCGCGAAAGCUAGGGGAGCAAACGGG
rnacentral:rRNA from 1 species